rnacentral:rRNA from 1 species
UACGGGGGGUGCAAACGUUGCUCGGAAUUAUUGGGCGUAAAGCGCACGUAGGCGGUCUUGUAAGUCGGGUGUGAAAGCCCGGGGCUUAACCCCGGAAGUGCACUCGAAACUGCAAGGCUUGAGUAUGGAAGAGGGUCUCGGAAUUCCCGGUGUAGAGGUGAAAUUCGUAGAUAUCGGGAGGAACACCAGUGGCUAAGGCGGAGACCUGGGCCAAUACUGACGCUGAGGUGCGAAAGCGUGGGGAGCAAACAGG